rnacentral:rRNA from 1 species
CAGCAGCCGCGGUAACACGUAGGGUGCAAGCGUUAAUCGGAAUUACUGGGCGUAAAGCGUGCGCAGGCGGUUUGUUAAGACAGAUGUGAAAUCCCCGGGCUCAACCUGGGAACUGCAUUUGUGACUGGCAAGCUAGAGUGUGGCAGAGGGGGGUGGAAUUCCGCGUGUAGCAGUGAAAUGCGUAGAUAUGCGGAGGAACACCGACGGCGAAGGCAGCCCCCUGGGCCAACACUGACGCUCAUGCACGAAAGCGUGGGGAGCGAACAGGAUUAGAUACCCCAGUAGUCCCUGUCUCUUAUAC